rnacentral:rRNA from 1 species
CUUCUCCCGGCACAAGUGUAAACCAGAUCGGACCAACCACUGGAAAUUAACGAACCCAAAACAAGAGGGCAAUGCGAACAACAAAAAAAUCAAGAAAAACCCACAACAUCCACAAUCGUUAACCCCACACUGGAGUGCCACCCAGGAAAGACCAAAAGAAAAGGAAGGAACUCGGCAAACACAAGCCUCGCCUGUUUACCAAAAACAUCGCCUCCUGCAAACACCUAAGUAUAGGAGGUCCAGCCUGCCCAGUGACUACAAGUUCAACGGCCGCGGUAUUUUGACCGUGCAAAGGUAGCGCAAUCACUUGUCUUUUAAAUGAAGACCUGUAUGAAUGGCUAAACGAGGGCUUAGCUGUCUCCCCUUUCCAGUCAGUGAAAUUGAUCUCCCCGUGCAGAAGCGGGCAUAUAAUUACAAGACGAGAAGACCCUUUGGAGCUUAAGGUACAAAUCCAACCACGUUAAGCAACUAAUUAAAAAGCACAAACCUAAUGGACAAUGGCAUUUUACCUUCGGUUGGGGCGACCACGGAGAAAAAAAGAUCCUCCGAGUGGACUGGGACAAAAACCUAAAACCAAGAAAGACAUUUCCAAGCCACAGAAAAUCUGACCAAUCAUGAUCCGGCCCCCAGGCCGAUCAACGAACCAAGUUACCCUAGGGAUAACAGCGCAAUCCUCUCCCAGAGUCCAUAUCGACGAGGGGGUUUACGACCUCGAUGUUGGAUCAGGACAUCCUAAUGGUGCAGCCGCU